rnacentral:lncRNA from 1 species
UGUUCAUUUGUUGUUAAGUUUCCUCUCUGAGUCUCGUACUCAUUGGCUGUGUUUCUGAAGGUGAUUGGUGAUGUGGAUGUGGUGGGCGAUGCAGCCAGGACGGUGACCCUCAAGGGUCAGGGCUCCGCAAAUCAGAGAGAGGACAAGGGAGGUGCAAGUGCUGCACAUCUGCUACGGAAACGGAAGAAACUAUUUGGACGGUCCCACCGUGUUGAGCCAGUAGGAGGAAGCGGGUGUGGCUCCAGCUUUGCACUGCAAGACCUCAGCCAAUGAUGUCAAAGCAAAGGAAGAGAUCGUUGGACCUUAAACUAAUGUUAAUUAUUUGAUCAAUCGUCUGGUUCACUUAAAGCUGCAAUACGUAAGAACCGGCCAACUGCCGAAUCCAUACUCAAAACAAACUGCGGGCAGCAUAUCACCAGAGUAACAACUAACUGGCCCUAACUGUAGCUAGCUAGUUAGCUUGUUUAACCGUGCAUGUAGUGGUCCUUGCUGUGUUGGUGUUUAGACUGGUAGCACAGGAAUGUUGUAACUUGAACAGGCUGCUGCUAGCUGGUUAGCAUGCUAACUUCAGUAGAUAUCGCUGCAACACAAAAGAUAGACGACUUAAUGUCCAUACUGUUAUUUCUCCACAUUCUGUUGAUAAUUUGAGGCAAUCUUUGAACGUUAAAUGUCUUAAACUUAACUUAAAUGUCUACACAGUGGGCCAGCUGGUACAUUUCGACAAUAAUUCAAAAUUCAAAACAGAAUAACACACUCUCAAAUGUAAAUACCAAAUUUUAACAGCUUUUUCUCAGGAGUACAAAAUGUGUGUGUGCUGUGUAGUAUUUUAGUUGGGUUCUAAAUGUUUAGAUGUCAGAAAAAAUGCUUUCCCUCCAAACAUGUGCAGUAUUAAGGUCAACAUGAAAAUACUCUAAUAUGUGCCUGACAUUGCAGUCAUGAAACAAAAUUACUAUCAUAAAAGCCUAGAAGCCACAUUCACAAUCACAUUUAGUUCACUGUAAAGUCCAUUCUCACGUAUGUGCACUGGAGGUUUUGAAGUUUCUAGGGUUUCCAGGGUUGGCUUCCAAAGUAGUUGUGAUGUCACAAAUCAUGCUCACCUCUUGAAGUGUUUGGGGACAAAACUUUAUUGACUGAUGUCUGAUUUAUGGAGACCUAAACAAACUAAACACACUCUCUUUUUUCAUGAUUGAAAAAACAAACUGACCUUAAAGGGCAUCAUAGUUUCAUUCUGUUUUACUUUGUUUAUAUGUGGCUGACCCUGCCAUAUUUCUCACUUCAAACAGUGUUCUGGGGACCUUAUUUUCCUCUGAGAACAGCUUGUUAUAGAAAAAACAAUAUUUCUGAGUUUGUAUUAUUACAUCAUUGAUAUGUAAAUAUCUCCAAUUUCUCCUAAACUACAUAGCC